rnacentral:rRNA from 1 species
AUACGAAGGGGGCUAGCGUUGUUCGGAAUCACUGGGCGUAAAGCGCACGUAGGCGGAUCUUUAAGUCAGGGGUGAAAUCCCGGGGCUCAACCCCGGAACUGCCUUUGAUACUGGGGAUCUCGAGUUCGGGAGAGGUGAGUGGAACUGCGAGUGUAGAGGUGAAAUUCGUAGAUAUUCGCAAGAACACCAGUGGCGAAGGCGGCUCACUGGCCCGAUACUGACGCUGAGGUGCGAAAGCGUGGGGAGC